CAGUCCCGCGGGAAUACGGAGGGGGCUAGCGUUGUUCGGAAUUACUGGGCGUAAAGCGCACGUAGGCGGCUUUGUAAGUUAGAGGUGAAAGCCUGGAGCUCAACUCCAGAAUUGCCUUUAAGACUGCAUCGCUUGAACGUCGGAGAGGUGAGUGGAAUUCCGAGUGUAGAGGUGAAAUUCGUAGAUAUUCGGAAGAACACCAGUGGCGAAGGCGGCUCACUGGACACGUAUUGACGCUGAGGUACGAAAGCGUGGGGAGCAAACGGGAUUAGAGACCCCCGUAGUCCCUGUCUCUUAUACA
rnacentral:rRNA from 1 species